rnacentral:rRNA from 1 species
GUAAGGAAUAUUGGACAAUGGACGCAAGUCUGAUCCAGCCAUGCCGCGUGAAGGAUUAAGGUCCUCUGGAUUGUAAACUUCUUUUAUAAGGGACGAAAAAAGGCUUUUCUAAGUCGUCUGACGGUACCUUAUGAAUAAGCACCGGCUAACUCCGUGCCAGCAGCCGCGGUAAUACGUAUGGUGCAAGCGUUAUCCGGAUUCACUGGGUUUAAAUGGUGCGUAGGCGGGCAGGUAAGUCAGUUGUGAAAUCCUAGAGCUUAACUCUAGAACUGGCAUUGAUACUAUCUGUCUUGAAUAUUGUGGAGGUAAGCGGAAUAUGUCAUGUAGCGGUGAAAUGCUUAGAUAUGACAUAGAACACCUAUUGCGAAGGCAGCUUACUACGCAUAUAUUAACGCUGAGGCACGAAAGCGUGGGGAUCAAACAGGAUUAGAUACCCUAGUAGUCC